CAUUGCUUGGCUGGAGGGCUGCUUGUAUCAUCUGGAGCCAGGGCUGCCAUAGAACUGAGAGCAAAAAGACUGUCUCCUGUGGUCUGAAUGCUUCUGCUACUGUUGGUGUUUGGACAGUGAGAAAGAAGAAUGGGGAGAAGAUUCAGAGAGUUUUGGUGAUUCAGGCAGUCCCCGCACGCUGCAGCAGAGAACUGGACCUGGACGCGGAGCUGGUGUGUCAGGUGAGUUUCCAAAGGAAAAGUAGCAACGCUCAUACAAAGUCAGAGGGGAAGAGAACCCUACAGAGAGGAGAUCUACAAUCAUCCUGUAACAAAAAUUGUAUUGGCCAGGAAGGUUGAACCUGGGAAGGGAUAACCUGGCUGCUUAGAAACAGAAGAAAAAAUGGACAAUGGAACUAGCUGGGGCAGACACAGGCAAGCCUCAGGAUUAGUAACAAGCACAUGGUAUCACUUUGAGGAUCUUGCAAAACCAGCAGGCCAAGAUGAAGGAACUGAUAAAAGUAAGGGCCCAAGAAGCUGAGGCACAAAUUAUGAUUCUUUCACGUCAACAUGAGUUAAGUGAGAAGCUGGAGGAUCAACAAACAGCCAUGGCUUAAGUACCAGAUGGCUUAAGGCUUCCUAGAAAGACAUCAGAGGAUGACAUGGAGACAUUCCUCGAAUCGUUCGAGAGGACUGCAAUAAUUGCGGGAUGGGAUCCAUCUGGGUGGGCCAGUCAGCUAGGCCCUUAUUUGUAGGACCAGCUAAAGUGGCAUACAGGGCCUUGUCUAAAGCAGUUGGAAGAGAUUACAAAACAGUAAAAUGAGCAAUUCUAUACAGCUUAGAAAUCUCUCCAAAAUAUUAUAGACAAUGCUUUUGAGCAAAGAAAAAGUUGGAAGAACUGAGACCUCAGUUGUUAGUACAAACAUUUAAAGAUUUGCUGGAAAAAUCAAUAUAGCUGGAGGGCAAGUCUGUGGCUGAGGUCCUGAAUAUAUUUGCACUACAACAGUUCCACACUUACUUGUGUGGAGAUACCCAAAAAUAGGUCAGAGGACACCACCAGUGGAGGAGGCCCUACAUUUAGCUGAGGUUUUUACAGCUACAGAGCAUGAUAAACCAGGGAAAGGCAGAAGUGUUACACCAACUGGACAGGGGGAAUUCUAGAAACCAUUGGCAAAAAUUAGAAAACACUAUAGGACCAGUUAGAGAAUCUAAGAGCUGGGAACUCAGGGAAAUAAUCUGUUAUGGAUGUGGAAAUCAGGCCCACAUCAUGAGAUUCUGUCCCCAAAAGGGGAUCAGUCAGGGGAUUUACCCCACGAAGACCAAAUGGACUGUAGUUUUGGCAGACAUAAAGGUCCUUGGUGAUGAGCCAAACCAAUAGUAGAUGUAACGAUCAGGGACCUUAUAGUUCCCAUGGUGGUAGAUACCAGAUGUACACAGACUAUGAUCAGAGCUGACCUGAUUUCUUCCCAGGCUGGGGAUGAAGAACCACCAGUGAAUAUGGUCUGUAUUC